AUUGAACGCUGGUGGCAUGCUUUACACAUGCAAGUCGAACGGUAACAGGCCUUCGGGCGCUGACGAGUGGCGAACGGGUGAGUAAUGCAUCGGAACGUGCCCAGUCGUGGGGGAUAACUAUCCGAAAGGAUAGCUAAUACCGCAUACGAUCUGCGGAUGAAAGCGGGGGACCUUCGGGCCUCGCGCGAUUGGAGCGGCCGAUGUCAGAUUAGGUAGUUGGUGGGGUAAGGGCUCACCAAGCCAACGAUCUGUAGCUGGUCUGAGAGGACGACCAGCCACACUGGGACUGAGACACGGCCCAGACUCCUACGGGAGGCAGCAGUGGGGAAUUUUGGACAAUGGGCGCAAGCCUGAUCCAGCAAUGCCGCGUGCAGGAAGAAGGCCUUCGGGUUGUAAACUGCUUUUGUACGGAACGAAACGGCUCUGGUUAAUACCCGGGGCUAAUGACGGUACCGUAAGAAUAAGCACCGGCUAACUACGUGCCAGCCGCCGCAGUAAAAC
rnacentral:rRNA from 1 species